ACAUAGUGAGACCAAGUCUCAGAAAACAAAAACAAGCCACCUUAAGUAGAUUUAAAAUUUUGCCUCAUUUAGAAAUAAAGUAAGAUUUAUAAAUUGGACUAUGUGUCCCAUUUUUGAACUUAUGACUUUAAUUUUUUGACUUAAAAUGUAAUUUUAUUAUUGUGUGAGGGUAUUGUGUGUGUGUGUGUAUGUGUGCACGUGUGUGCCUGUGCAUGCCAUGUGUAUGUGGAAGCCAGCAGACAACUUUAUAGAGACUGUUCUCUCCUUUCACCUUUAUGUGUUACAAGUUUUCCCUGCUGAGCCAUGUCACCCAUCCCUAUAAAGCUAAUUUUAAAUAGUAAAAUAGUUCCAAGGAGUCAGUCAGGAAAAAAAAAUGGCUGUCAAAGUCUCAAAGAAAUCAUAUUAGCCAUGGAUAGUAACUGAACUCUAGAAAGGAAACAUCUGAGAAUAGUCUAAUAUCACACUAGUGUAUUUGUACAUGUGUUAGAUAAUAUUGUUUUCAGAGUAUUUAAUCUCAUGAUUAUUGUAAAGAUGAAAAAGAUGAAAAAAGAAAUAGUGGACAAUAUAAGUAUUUAAUUUUGCUUGUGAAUUCUGUCUUUUAGAAUGACACAUGUAAGAAAUAAAAUAAAAUGGUCCAUUCUCAGCCUAAGCCAGCUCACUUACGUCUGGGCCCUGAUGGCCUUGGCUAGUCUAGCUACCCCCACCCCAAACUCAAAAGUUUAGAGAAGAAAAUGACUGAGUCAAGCUUCUCUGAUGACGUUUGGACAUAAAGUUUAUGGUCCUGAGAAUCCCUAAAAUAAGCAGGAUAUAAAGCACGUAAAUUAAGCCACACUUCAUGUGGGUUGAGAAACAGACAAAAGUCAGUGGCAGAUGACCUGAAAACACCAGACCUCAGGACACUCGGCCAGUGUGGUAAGGAGGGGGAGACCUCCGUUCUGGGCAAUAAAACUGUUAUCUGUGCUCAGUCUGUCUCCUGCUUUCCUCUGACUUGGCACCAGACUGUACAAGAUUGUAAAUAAAACUGCCUCACUUUU
rnacentral:lncRNA from 1 species